GCUGACACAUUCCAGCUAAUCAGCAGCAGACCCUCCCUCCCAGGCCCUCCCACCUCCUGGACAGCAUCCAUUUUGAAGCUGCAUUCUUAGUGAGCUGUCCAGGAGGUGGGAGGGUCUGGGAGGGAGGGUCUGCUGCUGAUUGGCUGGAAUGUGUCAG
rnacentral:miRNA from 1 species